UACGUAGGGUGCAAGCGUUAAUCGGAAUUACUGGGCGUAAAGCGUGCGCAGGCGGUUAUGUAAGACAGUUGUGAAAUCCCCGGGCUCAACCUGGGAACUGCAUCUGUGACUGCAUAGCUAGAGUACGGUAGAGGGGGGAUGGAAUUCCGCGUGUAGCAGUGAAAUGCGUAGAUAUGCGGAGGAACACCGGUGGCGAAGGCGGCCCACUGGUCCGGUACUGACGCUGGAGGUGCGAAAGCGUGGGGAGCAAACAGG
rnacentral:rRNA from 1 species